AUCAAUCUAUGGUAUAUAUGGUAUAUGAUGAAAGAAAAUCAUGAAAGAAACAAAAACUUAGAAGUUGUCAGCAUUCUCUACAACAACAGAAACUAUGUGGGAUAUUUGAAAUUCAAAUCCAAUUUGGAUUCUUCUCAGUUCGCACUCAACUCACUCAUUCUAUCUUCUUUGAAAAUCAAAUCAGUCUCAUAUCUCACUGGUGGGCGCGUUCUUUCCCUUUUGGAUCAGAAUUUGAACUUGAACAUUUGAAACUAGGAAGUAUUGGACAAGUCACAGGCGAGAGAGUUGAAAAUCAAGAAGAGGAGAGGAAGAUCUAAGAGACGAGGAGGCGGAGGAGGAGAAGCAAGCUUCAGGAGCAGAGGCGAACAGAGCUUUCACGGUGAUUUCAGAGGCGGCAGAGUGGGGAAGAAGCAGCACAGCAAGCUGACAACACUGGUGAACAGAACGGUGAGCUCUGAUAUCCUAUCUUGGGCGGUAUUGCAGAGUGGUAGCAGGUAACUAGGAGCUAAAAUCAUGUUUAGGAAAUUCACUGAAUUUUGCUGUUGUCAGUGAAUAUGGUUGUGAAUGAACUAGACAAAACCUUGCACCACCAAAAAAGCAGCCACUUUCUGAAGGAAGAAAAAAAUUGUGCCUGGGAGUUUAAUGAAAGCGGUGGUGAGGCUUGGUGGCGAUGAUCAGGUUCUCUUUCUGCUUCUCAUAGAUCGAUAUGAAAAAGUGAGGCUCACAAAGUGGUACACCCCAUGCUCUCGAAAGGAAAGAUCCAAGAAUUGACAAAGCACAUGACUGUGGGAGCUAAUGAGUUGUUGGCUAAACUAUGGAAACUAACAAUGAAAUGUUGUCAUAUAGGCAUAUGGAGCCUGGCCUUCACCAUUUUGAAAGUUGUGGCAUGAGAAAAUCCAAAUAAAACAAAAUGGUGUGUUACCAAGUGGAUAUGCACAGAAAAUUGGGUUCUAAAUAUGGGAAAAUUGGCUGAACUACGGAAGAUCUAGUAGGCUCAACGUAAAAAUUGUCUCAAGUAGUAACCAAGUUGAGUGUCUCUUGUUGAAGGCUAUCACAUCGGCCAAGCUUCUUAUCGGUGAAGCAAUCAAGUCCAUGAGGUAUGCAUUCAAGGACAACUUGAAUUUUGGUUUCUGUAUUGGUUCCAUCUUUGAAAUAAGGGUUGAUUGCAGCACAACUUGAAGAAUUGCAGCAUGACAUGAAUUCAGGUUUCCUCUUGCUUAGUGUUGAAUGCAACUAUGCAUAUUGGAAAGAGGGAUUGAGAAUUCUCGUGCAGUGUUGUUUCCUUCUUCUUUGAGCUUUGUUUGAGAUUUUUUUAUGAUUUUUUGAUGUCUUUUUUUCUGUAAUUGAGAAAAAGGCAUUAGUGAAAAUGGGCAAAAGAGAUAAAUUGAAAAAGCCAAAGUAAUUUUUUAUGUAUUUGGUUUUUGUUGAACUAGGAUUAGUUCUUAGUCAAGUUGGGAUAACAUUUGGUGGUUGCCGAACUAGAUUGGAGUUUUCCUUAGUCAAGUUGAGAUAGCGCUUGGUGGAUACUAGGUUUAGGUUAGAAAUUUGGUAGGUGAUACUAGAUGAAUUAGGUUAUAAUUCAUUGGUAUUGGUGCAUGUAAUAAGUUUGAUUAUAGUUGAAAUUCUACCAUAGUUGUGGUGGAGACUGGAUGUAGGUUUCAUUGCACUUGGAAACCGAACCAGGAUAUAUGCUUGUGUGAUUCUCUUUCUCUGUUA